UCGGGAAUUUUGGGCAAUGGGCGAAAGCCUGACCCAGCAACGCCGCGUGAAGGAUGAAGUCUCUCGGGAUGUAAACUUCGUAAGAAUAGGAAGAAUAAAUGACGGUACUAUUUGUAAGGUCCGGCUAACUACGUGCCAGCAGCCGCGGUAAUACGUAGGGACCAAGCGUUGUUCGGAUUUACUGGGCGUAAAGGGCGCGUAGGCGGCAAUUCAAGUCAUCUGUGAAAUCUCCGGGCUUAACUCGGAACGGUCAGAUGAUACUGCUUUGCUAGAGUGCAGAAAGGGCAAUCGGAAUUCUUGGUGUAGCGGUGAAAUGCGUAGAUAUCAAGAGGAACACCUGAGGCGAAGGCGGGUUGCUAGGCUGAUACUGACGCUGAGGCGCGAAAGCUAGGGUAGCAAA
rnacentral:rRNA from 1 species